GCGGAAAUAGCUCAGUUGGUAGAGCACGACCUUGCCAAGGUCGGGGUCGGGAGUUCGAGUCUCCUUUUCCGCUCCA
rnacentral:tRNA from 1 species